AGCGAACAGACGAGGAGCUUGCUCCUCUGACGUUAGCGGCGGACGGGUGAGUAACACGUGGAUAACCUACCUAUAAGACUGGGAUAACUUCGGGAAACCGGAGCUAAUACCGGAUAAUAUAUUGAACCGCAUGGUUCAAUAGUGAAAGACGGUUUUGCUGUCACUUAUAGAUGGAUCCGCGCCGCAUUAGCUAGUUGGUAAGGUAACGGCUUACCAAGGCAACGAUGCGUAGCCGACCUGAGAGGGUGAUCGGCCACACUGGAACUGAGACACGGUCCAGACUCCUACGGGAGGCAGCAGUAGGGAAUCUUCCGCAAUGGGCGAAAGCCUGACGGAGCAACGCCGCGUGAGUGAUGAAGGUCUUCGGAUCGUAAAACUCUGUUAUUAGGGAAGAACAAAUGUGUAAGUAACUAUGCACGUCUUGACGGUACCUAAUCAGAAAGCCACGGCUAACUACGUGCCAGCAGCCGCGGUAAUACGUAGGUGGCAAGCGUUAUCCGGAAUUAUUGGGCGUAAAGCGCGCGUAGGCGGUUUUUUAAGUCUGAUGUGAAAGCCCACGGCUCAACCGUGGAGGGUCAUUGGAAACUGGAAAACUUGAGUGCAGAAGAGGAAAGUGGAAUUCCAUGUGUAGCGGUGAAAUGCGCAGAGAUAUGGAGGAACACCAGUGGCGAAAGCGACUUUCUGGUCUGUAACUGACGCUGAUGUGCGAAAGCGUGGGGAUCAAACAGGAUUAGAUACCCUGGUAGUCCACGCCGUAAACGAUGAGUGCUAAGUGUU
rnacentral:rRNA from 1 species